CACGGGGGGAGCAAGCGUUGUUCGGAUUCAUUGGGCGUAAAGGGCUCGUAGGUGGCUUUGUAAGUCGGAGGUGAAAUCCCACGGCUCAACCGUGGACACGCCUUCGAAACUGUGAAGCUUGAGGCUGGGAGAGGAGAUCGGAAUUCCUGGUGUAGCGGUGGAAUGCGUAGAGAUCCGGAAGAACACCGGUGGCGAAGGCGGCCUGCUGGGCAGUUGCUGACACUGAGGCGCGACAGCGUGGGGAGCAAACAGG
rnacentral:rRNA from 1 species